rnacentral:tRNA from 1 species
GGAGGUUACAGCUCAGUGGUAGAGCGUGUGCUUAGCAUGCAUGAGGUCCUGGGUUCAAUCCCCAGUGCCUCCG